rnacentral:rRNA from 1 species
ACGCUCGACACCUACGGGAGCAGCAGUGGGGAAUAUUGCACAAUGGGGGAAACCCUGAUGCAGCGACGCCGCGUGGAGGAAGAAGGUCUUCGGAUUGUAAACUCCUGUUGUUGGGGAAAAAGAGGAUGGUACCCAACAAGGAAGUGACGGCUAACUACGUGCCCGCAGCCGCGGUAAUCUGAGCGGGCGUGGCAAGGC